GUGGGCGUAGCUCAGCUGGUUAGAGCGAGGGACUGUGGAUCCCUAGGUCGCCGGUUCAAGUCCGGUCGCCCACCCCA
rnacentral:tRNA from 1 species